rnacentral:rRNA from 1 species
AGGGUUCGAUUCUGGCUCAGGAUGAACGCUGGCGGCGUGCUUAACACAUGCAAGUCGAACGGGAUCCAUCAAGCUUGCUUGGUGGUGAGAGUGGCGAACGGGUGAGUAAUGCGUGACCGACCUGCCCCAUACACCGGAAUAGCUCCUGGAAACGGGUGGUAAUGCCGGAUGCUCCAGUUGAUCGCAUGGUCUUCUGGGAAAGCUUUCGCGGUAUGGGAUGGGGUCGCGUCCUAUCAGCUUGACGGCGGGGUAACGGCCCACCGUGGCUUCGACGGGUAGCCGGCCUGAGAGGGCGACCGGCCACAUUGGGACUGAGAUACGGCCCAGACUCCUACGGGAGGCAGCAGUGGGGAAUAUUGCACAAUGGGCGCAAGCCUGAUGCAGCGACGCCGCGUGAGGGAUGGAGGCCUUCGGGUUGUAAACCUCUUUUAUCGGGGAGCAAGCGAGAGUGAGUUUACCCGUUGAAUAAGCACCGGCUAACUACGUGCCAGCAGCCGCGGUAAUACGUAGGGUGCAAGCGUUAUCCGGAAUUAUUGGGCGUAAAGGGCUCGUAGGCGGUUCGUCGCGUCCGGUGUGAAAGUCCAUCGCUUAACGGUGGAUCCGCGCCGGGUACGGGCGAGCUUGAGUACGGUAGGGGAGACUGGAAUUCCCGGUGUAACGGUGGAAUGUGUAGAUAUCGGGAAGAACACCAAUGGCGAAGGCUGGUCUCUGGGCCGUUACUGACGCUGAGGAGCGAAAGCGUGGGGAGCGAACAGGAUUAGAUACCCUGGUAGUCCACGCCGUAAACGGUGGAUGCUGGAUGUGGGGCCCGUUCCACG